GUGCUUGCUUCAGCAUCACAUAUACUAAAAUUGGAACAAUGCAGAGAAGAUGAAUAUGGCCCUGUGCAAGGAUGACAUGCAAAUUCGUGAAGCGUUCCAUAUUUUU
rnacentral:snRNA from 1 species